ensembl:lncRNA
AUUCAUUUAUCAUGCCCCAUUUUUUGUGUGCAGAGGUUGUAAAUGAGGCUUAGGUGUUUUUUGCUACUAGGAUUACUCCUUGGAUCCUGUGAAGGGGCAGGUUGUCUCACCUCUACCGAGUGCCAUUCUCUCAUCUGGCAGAAUAGCAGAUGGUUUUUAUCUAGUGUGUAUGCCAAUGGGAACAUAAAGACAGGUUUGAGCUGUAAGCAGGAAGGAAUUUAUUUGUGUUUGCAGUAGCCAGGAGUGAGGUAGUCUUAUACAACCAGAUUCCAAAUUCUCCCUGCUAAAGGAGAGUUACAAGUUUUGUGGAAUUCACUUUCAGAGAGGUCAUACACAUUCAGGAACUUUCUGAGAAGUUCCAGGAAGCAUUAUGCAUAUUUAAAAGGAAGCAGGUGCACAAACCCACUGUCUAUCAUGAAUGUUACAUGCAUUCCAUGCCCGGUUAAGGGCGGAGAUUUCGCAUUACAAGGAAGGGGAUUUGCGUUUCAUAUGCUGGAAAGGUGGAGAGGAGAGUGCCACUCCAGCUUGUUAGCAGGCUCUACAAACUGGCUUCAGCCAAGUCGGGCUCCAGGUUUCCUGCCAAGGAGAGUUCACCACCACAGUGCACCUGCAUUGGAUGGGUGCUGAUUCACAUCUGCUUGCAAGGACACCUGGCACAGCAAAGGCUGCGCCAGGGACUGCUGCCCAGUGUUCUCGCAAUGGGAAAGGUCAGAGUGCUUAAGGCAGAGAACAAGACACAGCCAUGGCCUGCCUUCCCUCACACGGAGCAGUGCUCUGUUCCCCCAGCAAAGGAAAGCUCCAGCAUAAAACAGUGCCAGGACAGGAUAUCUCCUGGGGAAAUGUCAGAAGGAAAACAGCCUCCUCCCAAGCUCUCCUUCUGCAGGCACCAGAAGCUCGUUACAUUGAAACAUGGCUCCUGCUGUACCCUGCCAUGUUGCAGCCCAGCCUGGGAACAAAGUCCAGUGUGUAAGGAGUAAUGCCUCCCAUUGAGAGUCAUCAACACUCCUUGGCUUUGCUUUGGGCUUAGACCGUGUUGAGAGAGAUGGGGUGGAAAGACCAAGUGCUGCCUUGUCUAAAUAAGGUGGAAGUUUGUGAACUCAAGAGGCUUCCACAGCCUUGGCAGCUCAUGACAAGAGCCUCGGGUAAUUACUGACGUCGUAAAUAAGAGUGUCAAUUGUUAAAUCAGCAACAGGAGUCACUGUGCACUUACUCCCCAUGUAGGAUACUCCCCAUAAGGAUCUCUGUCCUUAAUGUGUUGUACUAUGAGAAUUACUGGUAAAACUAGUUUUCAAACAGUAUUUUAUACUUUGUGUGUCUAUGUGGGUGCAAUCUGUUGAAAUCUUCACUCAGCAUAGAGUUGAUCUAUAUAUAAAGAUAAUUAAAAAUGAAUCUUAAUGAAGAAUGGGAUGGGAGAGGGAGAAGAGUUGGGAUGGUUUGUGGGUGGGAUGGUGGUUACUGGGGGAAGAACUGCUAUAACCAAAAGUUGUAUUUUUUUUUUUUUUGGUAUUUGUCCUGGACUCUGUACUUACUAAUGCCAUGUACAGAACUUAAAAUGUGAUGGUUUGAAUAUAAAUUUGGUUUGAUUCAUGAUUUAAACUAUCCAAAGUUGUAUAUUUCAAUUCAAGAAAUGUUUCAUUUGUGUGUGUGUGUGAACCAUUUCUACUGAGAGUUUGCAUUAAAUUAAAAUAAUUUAAAAACUUGACAUGAAGCAUUGAUCUGUUAACUGGAUGGAUCUGAGCUCAGCCACGGGGACCGCUGCGGUGGCGUGGCCUUGCCGCCAAGCUCGGGAAGCUGCGGUGCUAAGUGCAGUGCCUUCAGCUGGGGCAGCCGUGGGUGGGCCCUGCUGAGUCCUGGGGACCCCUGGGCCGGGAGGGCAGAUUCCGACAUUGAGUCACAGGUGCAGGGAUGCUCGGCCACACAUGCACUGGGUGUGAGCUGUACCUUAAACUUGCCUGGCCCGCUUUUGAAAUUUAUAUUUAUUAAAUAAAUUUUUCUAUUAAAAAAAAAAAGGACCA